UACAGAGGUCCCAAGCGUUGUUCGGAUUCAUUGGGCGUAAAGGGUGCGUAGGCGGCGCGGUAAGUCGGGUGUGAAAUCUCGGAGCUUAACUCCGAAACUGCAUUCGAUACUGCCGUGCUUGAGGACUGGAGAGGAGACUGGAAUUUACGGUGUAGCGGUGAAAUGCGUAGAUAUCGUAAGGAAGACCAGUGGCGAAGGCGGGGUCUCUGGGACAGUUCCUGACGCUUGAGGCACGAAGGCUAGGGGGAGCAAACGGG
rnacentral:rRNA from 1 species